AAGAAUCGGCACAUAUAUAUUCGUGGAACUAAUUCGCAAGUUAAAUGAGCUGCUGAAGAGAAAGUUUGAGAUUAGAUGAUCGAUACAGCACUGAUACAGGUUAUACGACCUCAGCUUGGUUACAUUUAUAAAGAACCUACCGACAGAUCCAUUUCAGACUCUGAUUGAAGCCACUGCAUCACUUACCAUUCUAGUUCACCACUGCUUCAACAAAGCACAAAGAUGAUCUUCAAAUUCCUAUUGACAACGCUGGCAAUAGUGUUUAUUGCUAUAAUGACCGUGAGAGUGGAAGGCGCUCCUCAGAUUCCAAUAACUCCGAAGCCAAUGAGGCCUUUCUAUGCUCCAAACCCAGUCAUCAUACCUGGACCAAUCACCACACCAAGCAGUAAUCCCAGUAAUCCACCUGCACCUGCACCUGAUCAUACCAAGCAUUGAUCAUCUUACCAGUUAUUUCAACUUAUUCGAAAAACCCUUUUCCAGACCAAUGGGCAGUCUCCUCUGCACUUAUGGAAGAGCUAAUAUUAUUUAUAUCAUCCAACUCAUUCUUAUUUAUUAUUCAUCCGGAGGAGCAUUAAUUAUUCUCGUUAUUUAGUUCCUGAACUGAGCCAUAGGAAUCAAACAUUAAAAUAUCUUAAUAAUUUUUGCUUUUUUCAUUGAUAUUGAAUGUCUCACAUAAUAAAUAUCGAGUGACCUGGCUGGCUCAGGUCUGUUGUCAAAGAUGUCACAUCGCUGUCAUGAACAGAAGUGAACUGUCAUGACAGUUAAGUCAUGUCAGAGGCCCUGAUCAACUUAUGGCUCUAAUCCGCUGAUUUUAGGCAGCUGAGACCGACCGCUUCACGUGUCCAUCCGAAAUAUUGAAAAAAUAUGUUGGCCGGCCGAGGAACAUCAGGCUUACAAAACCAGCGUCUAAAGCAGUGGCCACUCCAUAACGUUACAACAUUACUGUACUGAAAUCGUCCAAACUGAUACGUUCGGUAGAUAUUAUCUCUAAUUCUAGAUAGAAAGAACAAAAUUAAUCAAUUUGAGCAUUCAGAAUUUAUUGAUAAAUACAUCUUUUCAUGAUCCCAUUCUUCAACAGUUAUGGUAAUCGAUUACAAUAUUUUUUACAUAAACUAAAAGUUAUUAUGUAACUAAUUUCUCAACUAGUUAGACACAUUUAUUGGCAGUACUUUGUUUAAAUUGUGCUAUAUUUUAUUAUUGUAUUUUUAUCAUUACCUCUUCACUGUUCUUUCACCUCUUAUGCCCAAAUUGAGAAUUACAAAACGUUUAUCUUGUACUAAAAAGUACAUCUUUUAUAAUUUAAUUUAUUUUUUUGAGUGAUGAAAAUAGAAAAAAAUGACUUAUAUGGGAGAAAUUAGAAGUACAGUAGUACUAUAAGUACCAACAAUAGCAUGUAACAGUUCAUAAUCAUUGUACUGUAUAGCACAUGACUCAAAAUUUCUCGACAAAAAAAGGAAAUUUCAUGAGUUUAAUAUUUUUCACAAACAUUUAACUUCAAACGGUUUAUUGAAUUAAUUUUUGGAUAGAUAAACUAAUCAUUAAUAGAAUAACUAUUAUCAAAAACCAUUUUUAUGCAAAAUUCAACUGCCUGUUGAAUUGAUACAAGUGUAUUUUAGUUUAAUAUGACAAACUGAUAUUCAAAAUGGUAUGCAAUAUUAAUAUUAUAAAAAUCAGAUAAUAGACUUUAUAAUUAAAUAACCUCAAUAUAAAUAAUGGUUCACUGAUGUAUCAACUGUAUAUAAAUUACUAAAAUAUUUAUAAUAAAAUCAAUUAAAAACCAACAAUCCCAAUAUAUCAUUUGUACUAGUCAACAACUCCCGUUUAGUUUAUAGUUUUCGGUAUUUUAUAAUUUUACUUUUAUUACAAAAAAUAUCAAAUUUUUGAGUAUUUUUACACAAAUCCAUUUGUUUUACAAUAUUCACAUUGAACGGAUUUAAUCUAAUGGCACAUUGAUAUCUGUAAAGUGACUGCAAUGAGGACAUUCAUAUCACUAAAAUAGUCAACAGCUAAUAUCCUAGAAGUUAUGUAUUUACAAACACCUAGUCAAUUUGAACACCGGAUUAAACAUCGAGAAUUUGUUAAUGAUUGUUGCUACUGUAAUGAUAAGAACCAUCAUCUUAAAACUAGAGUGAACAUAUAUUUUUGAUAAUGCUUAUAAUACAAAUGUUUCGAAUUGCAUAAAAAUUUGGUAAGCUCAACAACCAAUGACUGUUAUGGAACAAUUGAGUGCAGUUCAAUGCUGGAAAAAGUCACAAAGCAUUUUAUGCUGCUGUGAACAUUUUCACAGCCAAGUCUCACAUUUAUAAAAUGAUUAAUAUGCUUAAAAUAACAUAUAUUUUUAAAAUCGAUAACAUGAUUGACAUUUUCUACUUUGGUUGUGUACGAGGGGGAAUAAGACAAUGUGACUUGACUUAUUCAAGGGCUUACAAAUUACUUCUUAUUUACAAUCAUGUUUUAUGCUACAUAAAUUAAUUGUAGACAUAAAAACUAUUAGUGCCUUAUUUUUAAUAUCAGCCCUUCUCUGAAAGAACUUUUAUAUACAGUCUAGAGUAUUGUUAACUCUCUUUGACAAGUACUUAACAUUGGAAACCAUGGAGUGAAGCAUAACAAACAAUGUUUUCGUUAAACUUUCAACAUAGAAAUUAUUAUAGCACUACGAAACAAAUAAUAAUAGCAUUAUUAUUUCCUCACUACUAAACGCCCAGUUAUGUGGGAGAAUUUGAAUCAUCUUGGUCAUUCACUUGAAAAUUCUCCUAUACUUCAAAUCACAUAGCUAUUUUUAUAACAAGAGAUAAUAAUGUUGAAAUUACAUAUGAACAUAAUCACUCUGAAAUAUUAGUACUGUAUUACAAUAUGUUUCGAUGUAUUAUACUUACUGCAACUCAAUAUAACGACAUAUUUUCAAUAAGUUACAAUGCGUUUUAUGUAUCAAUAAAUAAAUAAAUUUAUUA